ACUUCUAUAGAGGUUUAGUUAUUCGCAAUAAUCUGGGAUUGAAGUCUACCUGAUUCGACCUCUUUAUAUUAGAGGUUGAACUAAAUCAGGAGUUUUAUAGAACAACGAAGAGGCAAGCUUUGAAACAAUGAAGCAUAGAUUAUGUUAUU